AACGAACGCUGGCGGCAUGCCUAACACAUGCAAGUCGAACGAGACCUUCGGGUCUAGUGGCGCACGGGUGCGUAACGCGUGGGAACCUGCCCUUAGGUUCGGAAUAACUCCCCGAAAGGGGUGCUAAUACCGGAUAAUGUCUUCGGACCAAAGAUUUAUCGCCUUUGGAUGGGCCCGCGUUGGAUUAGCUAGUUGGUAGGGUAAAAGCCUACCAAGGCGACGAUCCAUAGCUGGUCUGAGAGGAUGAUCAGCCACACUGGGACUGAGACACGGCCCAGACUCCUACGGGAGGCAGCAGUGGGGAAUAUUGGACAAUGGGCGGAAGCCUGAUCCAGCAAUGCCGCGUGAGUGAUGAAGGCCUUAGGGUUGUAAAGCUCUUUUAACCGGGAUGAUAAUGACAGUACCGGGAGAAUAAGCUCCGGCUAACUCCGUG
rnacentral:rRNA from 1 species